CAGAGCGGAUCAAGCCCCACCGGAACAGCCUCGUCUUGAUUUUCUCGCAGAGACCCCGUCUCCGCACACGGAGUGUGCAAAAGCCUCGGACCCCGGCCGGCUAUGAACCAUCUCACUCUGUGACUAAGAGGAGGAAGGCCUGGGUUCUUGCCUUGGACGAUGCAGCCUCUCCAUGAACCAGGCAGCCGGCUCGUCAGGGGAGGGCCCUGGCCUCAGACGCUCCCUGCCGCUCGUCCCCAAGCGGCAUGGAGCAGGGCUGUAGAAUCGAAACGCUACCCACCCAGGAGCCCCUCGUCGUCCUGCCGGACACAACACGGCCGUGGGGGUUGCCUCCUUCCUCCAGCUGCCUUCCAAAAAUAGAGCCUCCAGGACGCGCACGAGGUCAGGUGUUGGACGCGGAUGCCAGCUGCUCGC